CUCGUAGGCGGUUCGUCGCGUCCGGUGUGAAAGUCCAUCGCUUAACGGUGGAUCUGCGCCGGGUACGGGCGGGCUGGAGUGCGGUAGGGGAGACUGGAAUUCCCGGUGUAACGGUGGAAUGUGUAGAUAUCGGGAAGAACACCAAUGGCGAAGGCAGGUCUUUGGGCCGUUACUGACGCUGAGGAGCGAAAGCGUGGGGAGCGAACA
rnacentral:rRNA from 1 species